rnacentral:rRNA from 1 species
GACGAACUGUCCUAACGUUGUUCGGAAUCACUGGGCUUAAAGGGCGCGUAGGCGGUCCGACAAGUCAGGGGUGAAAUCCUGCAGCUUAACUGCAGAAGUGCCUUUGAUACUGUCGGUCUCGAGGGAGAUAGGGGUGUGCGGAACUUCCAGUGGAGCGGUGAAAUGCGUUGAUAUUGGAAGGAACGCCGGAGGCGAAAGCGGCGCACUGGAUCUCUUCUGACGCUGAGGCGCGAAAGCUAGGGGAGCAAACAGG